GUAGGUGAGGUUCUUGAGCUGGCCGAGGAAGGAGGGGAUUGGGCCGGUGAGAUUGACCCAGUUGAUUCUCAAGAAUUUCAAGUAUUUGAGCUUGGUCAAGGACUUUGGGAUCGGGCCGGAGAAGUUCGAGACCUUAUGGAGGUUGAGGUAUUGGAGGUAGGGGAGGUCGCCAAUGGCGGAAGGGAUUUGGCCGGUGAGGUCGGCUUGGAGAAAGAAGAUGGAGAUGACGCGGUGGGUCACCUCGUCGCACUUGAGGCAGUACUAGGAGCAGCAGUCGGUGUCCGGGUCCCAGGAGGCGAGGUGGUAGGGGUUGUGGAGGGCGGACUUUAUGCGGAGGAGGACUUCCUUGUCCUCUGGGUGGCAGUCCGUGGCGGAGGCGGGGUGGAGAAGGGAGAGAGCGAGGAGGAGGAGGAGGAGGAGGCGGCGGCGGGCGGGAGACAUUGUGGAAGGCAGGGGUGGCGGCGACUCUUGGAUGAGCGAGGAAGGAGGCGUUGGAGAGUAGCAUUUAUAGGAGGAAGUUGUGCGUGGCGACACAGAAAGUAGCAUUUAUGGAGGAAUUGACUUUCACUUUUGAUUUUUUAUUGAUUCAUUUUGGAUGUAAACUUGUUGAAUUGAUAUUUUGACUAUUAUCUCAUGCAAAACACGACAUAUUUUAAAAAAAAAUUCACAUAUGGACAAGUAUAUAUAGAUUAUUUUCAAUAUUUUUGCAACUUCCAAUAACUUCAUUUUCAAUUUUUAUAGUGAAAGUCAUAGUUUUGAGUAAAAAUUAUUUGUCUAAGAAAGUCAAUUCUUGAGCCGUUUUAAUGGAAAAUGAAAUAAGUACUUGUGAGUUGUGAUAUCUAACACAUUGUUAAGCCACCCAGUAUCGCCAUUCAUUUACAGCUAUCAAGAGUAGCACCGCGCAAGCAACGGUUAUGGCGAGUAACCAGAGUUCUACAACCGCUCUCCCACCGGAAUCUCCCCGCACAACCUUUUGUAGCUCAAGUUCAAGAACUGCAGCAGCAGACCCUUCAUCGCAUCUGGCAUCGCCCCCUUAAAUCUUGUUACCGUUAAUGUCCAAUCAGCCACGUAUUGCUCUAGCUCAGCUCCACCUUCGACAGGUUGAGCUCAAAUAGGUUGCUCGAGAUGUCAAUGUAGUUGUUCAGUCUUGUUCACCCCAAACAGCCACGCUGUAUCUCCCCGCAGCCUGUUCUAGGACAGAUCGAGCUUCCUGAAGUUGGUCCCAGCGAAGGUCGCCCGAACCUCACCGUAGAGGUUGUGGGAGACGGUGGGACAUUGGUUGGUCGGGGUUAAAAACAAGUUGGGAGGAUGUGGCUUUGACCUUAAAAUGAAGUUUGAUCUGUAGAUUCUAGGUUAGAAAUUUCUAAGCUGGAAAUCAAGCCUUUCUCAAAUCAGCAGCCAUCAGCCCAGAUGGGAUCAUUUCAUCUGGGUCAUCACAUGAAUUUUAUUUAACAAUCCAAAAAUCCCACUUCAUAAAUAGAAAAUUUCUAUUUGUGUGAUCGAAGAUCCAGCUCUUCAUCUACGUGUGAGCGAUCGGGAGGGAUCUUAAACCCUGGGAGGAUCCCCUUUGUUGGAGAAAUCCUCUUGAAGUGUUUUGAAGUUGACAAAACGUUUCCAUCAGUCUAGUCUAAAGGCUUGCAGACUCUGCUAUUUAAAGUCUGAAGACCUCCGAACAGCCAGACUCAAGACUCAAAGUCUAUCCUCAUUGACAGUUUCUAAUCCGUUGAAGAAAUGCUAUCUAGAACUGGAUGUUUCAUUAAGGACGUGGCCUUAUCGACUGGAGAAGAUCUCUUGGCUGGAUAUGACAUAACGGAAUCCUUUAUUUGAUCAUAAUUGAUUCGAAGAUUAAGGAUCCGAUGAUUGACAAAGUAUAUUUGGAAGGUUCUACUUAUGGAAACCGAGAUCCUGAUUAUAUGGGCGAACAUGAUUGAUGGGCUAUCGACAUAUUCCUUUAAUAGCUCGAAUGAUCUUCCUAAUUGAUUCCGUUCAAUGGGUAGAUUGGAGGAAUUCCUUUGGUAAGUGCCAACGGGUAUGAUGGCAUGAAGGAGUAUAUAAGGAAGACGUUCCAGUUGUUCGAGUGUGUGCACGAUAGAAGAAUUCCAAAGUCCAAAGCUCCUUGUUCUUAGUCAAUUCAUUUGUUGAGCAAAAUCGUGUAAACAAAAGAGAGUCUAUAUUCGUGAGAAACCUUGAGGAAGUGUGGUAGAACAUCUACACUGUGGAAUCAAGGAAAAGCUGCGCUGUAACUUCUCUUUUGUUCAUAGUGAAAUCCAGUCGGUGGGCUGUCAGUGGGAAGAGUGGACGUAGGCUUGGAAUAAGCCGAACCACUAUAAAUCUUGUGUUCAAUUUUUCUCUUCCCUAACAUUUACUUAACUUUGAUCGUAUUUUCCUUUCUAUCGUUUGCCUAGAAAUCGCUUCCGGUAUCUCGAGAAUUUGUUUGNNNNNNNNNNNNNNNNNNNNNNNNNNNNNNNNNNNNNNNNNNNNNNNNNNNNNNNNNNNNNNNNNNNNNNNNNNNNNNNNNNNNNNNNNNNNNNNNNNNNNNNNNNNNNNNNNNNNNNNNNNNNNNNNNNUUGGUAGAAGGGCAAAGCAAUACCAGACCACCUUACUUUGAUGGAAAUGAUUACAAUAUAUGGAAAAACAAGAUGAAAGCGUUCCUAAGAUCAAAAGAUUCUCUAGAAUGGGACGUUGUAGAAAAAUGAAUCAUUCCUAAAGCUGCAUCUGUCUCAGAAAGAGGAAAAGAUGCUGUUGAGUCUAGCGAAAUGACUCAGGAAGAGAUAAUCAAGAGACAAGCUCUUGAUGCAAAAGCAAUUUAUUCCUUAUAUUGUACUUUAUCCCCUACUGAAUAUAACAUAAUAUCUUAUUGUAUUACAGCUAAAGAAGUCUGGGAUAGAUUACAUAUUACCUAUGAAGGAACCGAUCGAGUGAAAGAGACUAGAAUCAACAUUCUCCUCGUUCAAUAUGAAGCCUUCAAAAUGAAACCAGGAGAAUCUAUAACUAAUAUGUUUAGUCGUUUUAUAGAAAUCGUGAAUGGUCUUGAAAAUCAAGGUCAACCAAUUUCUGAUCCCAUGAAGGUAAACAAGCUACUGCGUGGACUCUCCAAGGAUUGGAAUCACAUAAAGACCUCAAUCAGAGAGACCCAAAGAAUCAUGCCACUAUUUGUUGAUGAGUUGGUUGGGACUCUUCAGUCUUAUGAAGUGGAACGAAUCAAUAAAGACGAAGACCCUAAAGGUAAGAAAUCCAUUGCAUUAAAAUCUAAUGAUGAUUCUGAUGUUACAGAUUCUGAAGACAAUAUGGAUGAUGAGGAACUUGCUCUCAUGAUAAGAAGAUUCGGAAAGCUUAAUAGAAAAGGAAGAAGAUUCAAUCCAAAUAAACAAAGUUUUCAAAAGCAACAGACUAAGUCUGUUGAGGAUGAUGAAUCAAACAAACAUGUAGUCUGCUUUGAAUGUAAGAAAAAAGGGACACAUCAGACCCAACUGUCCUCUUCUGAGGAAGAAGAAAGGAAAAACUGAAAAGUACCGAAAAGCUCUUAAAGCUGAAACCUGGAGUGAUACAGAGUGUGAAGAAAGCGAUGAUGAUUAUGCCAAUAUAUGUCAAUGGCACAAUCGGAUUCAGAUUCAGAAAGCGAAUUUGAGGUAAGUAACUUCAAAAUCCCUAUUAAGGUUUCAAAAUACAUUGAUGAAUUGUGUUUUAGUCUUAAGACUUCUCUUAAAAGAAUUUCCGAACUCAAGAAGGAAAAUUCUGCUCUAAAACAACAAGAAAAUAUUUUGAAAGAAAAAGUGAAAUGUUUAGACAAGAAUGUUUAUUCUCUUAAAGAAAGUGAAGAUAAUCUUUUAAAAGAAAAUGCAUUCUUGAAAAAUGAUAUCUCAAAUAUUUCCAAAAGAUUUUCUAUAGGAUCUGAGAAACUGGAAAAAAUUCUCUCCGUUCAAAGACCUUAUUUUAAUAAAUCUGGUUUGGGAAUGACUGCUGAAACCAUUCCUUUAAUUGAUUUUCCUAAAGUGAAGGAAAGAAUCAAACAAAGACUCACAAGAGAUGCUUACAAAAAUCAUUUUAAAAGGAUCUUUGUAAAACCAGUAGGUCGUAAUGCUCUCAAAUGCUCAAAGUGCAAUAGUGCAUAUCAUUUUAAAAAAUAAUGUCCUAUGAUUUGGAAACCUGUUAAAAAGGUAUAGGCAAAAACCGAAUAUCAUACUAACAUCGAUGGACCCAAGAAAAUAUGGCUACCAAAGAAGGUUUGAGUUUCUUUUUUAAAUGCAGGUCACUAUCAAGAAAAAUGUAAAAUGGUAUCUGGAUAGUGGAUGCUCAAGACAAAUGACAGGAGACUCAAAUUACUUCAUAAAGCUUGUUCGAGUAAAUGGUGGAAAAGUCUCUUUUGGAGGAAACAGCAAAGGAAAAAUUGUGGGAUUUGGAACUAUAAAGAUUGGAAAUCUCACAAUCAGCAAUGUUUCCUUAGUGGAAGGACUCAUUUACAAUUUGCUCAGUAUUAGUCAGCUAUGUGAUAUUGGUUUCAAAAUCAACUUUCAAGAGGGAAUAUGUUCAGGAAUUAGUAAAGAUUCUAUUCAGUCAUUCAUGGGUCGAAGACAUGGAAAUAUCUACCUCUUGGAUGUGAAACCAGAUGAAUCAUAAUGUCUAAUCUCAAUCCAAGACGAAGCAAACUUAUGGCACAGAAAGUUUGGGCAUGUCAAUAUGAAGCAAAUAGCCAAAAUCUGAGCAAAGAAGCUUGUUCGUGGUCUACCCAAUUUAUCAUACCAAAAGUCUGAUCUAUGUACACCAUGUAUAUUGGGAAAACAGGUAAGAAAUUCCUUUAAACCAAUAAAUCAAGUUUCCACUACCCGUGUACUGCAACUUCUGCAUAUGGAUCUUUUUGGACCAACCAGAACACAAAGCAUUGGAGGUAAGAAAUAUUGCCUAGUAAUUGUGGAUGAUUACUCACUAUUUACUUGGGUAUAUUUCUUGGCAAGUAAGUCUGAAACUUUCUUUUACUUUGAAAAGUUUGCUAAAAAGGUUCAAAAUGAAAAAUGGUAUGUUAUCUCGAGUAUAAGAAUAGAUCAUGGAGGUGAAUUUGAAAAUCGUGAUUUUACAAAAUUCUGUGAUGAAUCUGAUCUUCAGCAUGUAUUCUCCUCUCCAUAUACUCCAGAGCAAAAUGGAGUUGUGGAAAGAAAGAAUAGAUCACUUCAAGAAAUGGCUAGAACUUUUUUAAUUGAAAGUAACAUCUCUUCACGUUUUUGGGCUGAAGCAGUUUCUACAGCAUGUUACAUUAUAAAUAGAGUUUUUUCUAAGGCCUAUUCUGGAAAAAACCCCCUAUGAACUAUUCAAAGAAAAGAAGCCUAUUCUUUCAUAUUUUCAUGUAUUUGGAUGCAAAUGUUUUAUACUGAAAAAUGCAAAUGAUCGAGUUGGUAAGUUUGAAGAAAAGUCAGAUGAAGGCAUCUUCCUUAGAUAUUCAACCACAAGCAAAGCGUACAAAGUCUACAACAAGAAGACUCAAACAGUGGAAGAAUCAAUGAAUGUUAAAUUUCAAGAUUCUAUGCAAAAUGAAUCCAUUCAGACUCAUCUUGAAGAAUCUGAACCUGCUCCAGACUCUACAAAGUCUAAAUCUCAGGAAGUAGCUCAGACUUUGAAGGACCAGCAACAAGUGACUGUUGAAGAUUCAAGUGAAGGAAGUGACCAUCAAUCUGACAAAUUAACCAACAACUGGAAACAUAAGUCCAGUCGUCCCAAAGAUCUUAUUAUUGGCGACAUCAAUGAAGGAAUUUGCACAAGAUCCAAAAGGCGCGAAGAGUCUAGUGCUGUGGCUCUUGUUUCUGAAAUAGAACCCAAAAGCAUAAAAGAAGCUUUAUUUGAUGAAAGCUAGAUUGAAGCUAUGCAAGAAAAGCUUAGGCAAUUCAGUAUUAAUGAUGUAUGGGAAUUGACUUCUAAACCAAAAGGUAAAUAUGUUAUUGGAGCUAAAUGGGUUUUCAGGAACAAGAUGAACGAGAAAGGAAAAGUCAUAAGAAACAAGUAAAGACUCGUGGCCAAGGGAUACACACAAGAAGAAGGGAUAGACUAUGACGAGACUUACGCACCAGUAGCAAGGUUAGAAGCAAUUCGAUUAUUACUUGCUUUUGUUUGUUAUAAGAAUUUCAGGUUAUUCCAAAUGGAUGUCAAAAGUGCCUUCCUAAAUGGAUUCAUCCAAGAGGAAGUCUAUGUGGAACAACCACCUGGGUUUGAAGACCCAAGGAAACCAGACUCAGUAUUCAGACUCAAAAAGGCUUUAUAUGGCUUAAAACAAGCACCUUGAGCUUGGUACGACAGACUGAGUAAAUUUUUAAUUGAAAAUGGAUUUGUUAAAGGUAAAGUAGACACUACUCUUUUCAUUAAAAGAGAAAGCAAGAGUUUUCUACUUGUUCAAAUAUAUGUCGAUGGUAUUAUUUUUGGAUCCUCUAAUGAAAGUCUGUGCAAGAAAUUCUCUAAGACUAUGCAGGAUGAAUUUGAAAUGAGCAUGAUGGGUGAGUUAACCUUCUUUCUUGGACUUCAAGUGAAACAACUGAAGGAAGGAACUUUUAUUCAUCAAGAAAAAUAUGCUAAUGAUAUUGUGAAGAAGUUUGGAUUGGACAAUUGCAAAAAGGCCGAUAUACCAAUGUCAAGUUCCUUGAAGAUAGAUAAAGAUGAAGGAGGAAAGAAAGUCGACCAAAAGUUAUACAGGAGUAUCAUCGGUUCGCUUCUUUAUUUUUUUGCUUCUAGACCUGACAUUUUGUUUAGUGUUUGCAUUUGUGCCAGAUUUCAAGUAGACCCUAAAGAAUCACAUUUAAAUGCUGCAAAGCAUAUUAUCAAAUAUAUUGCAUCAACUUCAAGCUUCAGUCUCUAGUAUCCUAAAAUGGGAGACUUUACUCUUCUUGGGUACUCAGACGCAGACUUAGCCGGAUGCAGAGUUGAUAGAAAGGGCACCUCAGGUACCUGUCAACUACUUGGAGGCAGGACAGUGUCUUGGUUUUCAAGGAAGCAAAGUACAAUAGCUCUCUCUACAGCGAAACAGAAUAUGUAGCUCUUGGAAGUUGUUGUUCACAAAUUCUGUGGAUAAAACAACAGCUAAGAGACUUUGGAAUUAAAGAUUCAUGCACAGAGAUUAAAUGUGACAACACCAGCGCAAUCAAUCUCACCAAAAAUCCAAUUCUUCACUCAAGAGCAAAGCAUAUAGAGAUUCGACAUUACUUCAUUCGAGAUCAUGUUCAAAAUGGAGAAAUUGCGAUUAAGUUUGUUGACUCGAAGAACCAACUGGCGGAUAUAUUUACAAAGCCUUUGGAGAAAAAUCAAUUUGAAAUUAUUCGUUCCAGACUCAACAUUUCGAGGUUUGAAGAAGUUAAAGUCUAGAGACUCUCAGACUCAGACAAAUAAGACUUUAACUGCAAGACUUUGACUGUAAGUAUGUUUAUCAACCGUUUAUCAACCGUAUUUGAUUAUUGUUAUCUCAACCGCCAUCUUUAAUUGACGAGAUUAUUGCAUCGUUUCCUGUAGAAAAAUGAGUUAUUUUGAAAUGACCAUUUUUCGAAAAAGGCAGUUAUUUUUUUAAAGGCAUCUUUUCACUUUCCAUUACGACAAUUGGUAUCCCCUCCUUUCGACUGUCUUAUAUACAGUCAGUUUCUCUUUGCUUAACUCCAAAACCCUAAAAAGCACCAAUCUUCCAUUCCUGUUUUCUUCUCUUGUUUAAUCUUCGAAAAAGUUGUCAUCUUUCUUGGGAAAGUCAAGCAAGGAAUCUUUCGAAGACUAAGAAAGAUGUCGUCUUCAAGAAAGUCUUCGAGGAUCGCAAGCAGGGGACCACGACGAAUGAGUGAGGGGCCUAUGCACUUCGAUCUCACUGAAUAAGAAGUGUCUCCAAAUCAGCAGCAAAGCCCACAACAUUCUCAGCAGUGUCAUUCUCCUCCAUCUAGUCCUCAAGAUGUUGAUCAUCAACAAAAUGAAGAAAUCAUUGAAGAUGCAGACCUUGUAAGAGUUCAAAGGCUCUCUUUUAUUUAUAAGUUGUAUCGUGCUUUAAAAGGGACCGGUACUCCAUUGAACUAUGUCGAUGAUUUUCUUAAGGACAAAGCAUAUGGAAAUGAAUAUAUCUUUUUGCGAAAAAUGGAAAGUUUGGGAAUUGCUCGUAAAGGGGUGGCAGAAGAAACCCUUGUGAAUAUCCCAAGUGAUCCUCAUGAUUGGGGAUUUAAUCCAGUAGAUGGAAAUGAUGAUGACAAAUUAUACAGCCAAUUUCAACCAAGAAUGGGAGUUGCGGCGGAAAAUCGAGGAAAAAUGGGAGAGUUGUUUAGAUCGAAGGAACAGAAUGAUCUAUACUCAAAAUUGCUGAAGCGUGGGGUGAUAAACCCUAGGAGUGUGGAUUUUGACUUUCUGAAUGCUGUGAAUGUGAACUUGAGGGAAAAGUUCGAUUAUCUUCAACUUGAAAAAUUCUGCUCUGACACCACAGAGGCCUAUCCUCAACUAACUGCAUAUUUCUAUUCAAAUCUUAGUUUCUUGGAUGCGAAUAGAUUCUCCUUCAGUGUCAAAGAUCAAGACUUUGUAGUGAAUAUGGAUAUGCUGGCAGAUGUGUUAGGAGUUGAGAGAGGAAGAUAUCAACGGAUCAAAGUUUCUAUUGCUCGUACUACAUUGGAACUUGUUAAGGACAAGAGAACAGAAGAAAAGAUUUCCUAUUCAAGGAUGACUGCAUUCAACAUCUUGAUGCACAAAAUUGUAAUCAAUUGCCUCAGACCGAAAUCAACUUCCAAGACUGAUGUCUCAAGUUCAGAGGCAAAGCUAAUGUAUGCCAUCAUCACUGGGAAAAGGUUUUCACUUCCUCACACUGUUAUGUUCCACAUAUAUAGAGUUGUGAUGAAGGACAUAGGUCAACUUCCUUAUCCAGGUCUUGUGACGAAGUUAUUCAGACAUCUGAACAUUCAGCCUCCGCAAAUUCUUUGUGCUCGAUCGUGCGAUCAUAUGGUGGUAGGACUGAAAAUGGUGACCAAAAUGCGUCUGAAGGAACUAAGCAAGGCAUUGGAGAAAUUUAAGGAGAAGACUCCAGUCAAAUCUCAUCAAUUCUCUUCUGCAGGAAAAAAGAAAAGGAAAGGAGCCCAUGGAUGCUCCAUCCAAGAGAAGAAGAGCUCUCAUCGCGGAGGAUGAAGAUGAUGAUGAUAACAUCACCAUUCCUGCAAUGGCUUUGAAGAAUCUCAGUCGAUCUGUUCCAGAGAAAGAGUUAGAACAACAGACGGAAGAAAGAGCAGAGAAAGAAGCAGAGGAAAAAGAAACGGAGGAAAGAGAAGAAGAAGAAGAAGAAGAAGAAAGAGAUGCUGAGAAAAAGAGAGUUGAAAAAGAAGAAGAAGAGAAAAGAGAUCAAGAAGAAGGAGAAGAUGAGGAGCACUCUCCACCUGAAGGCAUGAACACAGGGGGAGACCAAGAGAAAAUAGGAAUGUCCUCAAAUCCUGCAACCAGUGAUGGAGUCAGUCGAUCCCCAGCAGAUCCAGAGGAUAUUUAUGCCUCUCAGUUUCCUGAGGAAGGUCAUGAUGUUUCUUCGCCAAAUCUACGUGAUUAUGCUAUCUACCAUCAUUUGCAUUUUCUCCAUCAGAUCGUGCCAACGCCAGUACGCAAACUGACAAUUCAACAGACUUUCGCAGAGUGAUGGAUAUUCUUUUGGAGAUGCAAGGUCAGAUAUAUGCAUUGGGAUGUGAAGUUCAGAACUUGCAGAAUGCAGGACAAGCUUCUUCAGGUUCAUUGAAUGAUCAAAUCCAAGCCCUUUCUCUUCAGAUUCAGGCUAAUGCUAAGGCUGAAAGGCAUUGUUCAGUCGAUGGGAGAUUUCCAGCUUGUUCGUGUUCCCAAGCAUUUUUUACUCCAUUUUCAUCUCAAUCUUUUUUAUGCUGACAAAAAGGGGGAGAGUUGCGAGACUUUAAAAACUUUGAACUUAAAUUUGUCGAACUUUUGGUUUGUUUGGUUUGUGGUUUGUUUUGACUUGACUUGUGUGUCUGGAUGUGGACUAAAUUUGGGAUUUGGAUUUGACUGCUUAUUAUUAACUACUAAUGAUAUCUUAUGGAUGGCUUUAUUGCAUACUAGACUAACCUAUUUUCUAUGGUUGCAGAUUCUAGUGUUAUUCAUUUAGCCAUUUAUCUCUAUAAGAUAUGCAUAUGUGUUUGAGAAAUGUUUUGCAGGUCAAAGUUUUUCAAAUCUGCAGGAAAGUUUUGUCACCAUCAAAAAUGGGGAGAUUGUUGGAUAAAUUCUCUUGAAGUGUUUUGAAGUUGAUAAAACGUUUCCAUCAUUCUAGUCUGAAGGCUUGCAGACUCUGCUAUUUAAAGUCUGAAGACCUUCGGACAGCCAGACUCAAGACUCAAAGUCUAUCCUCAUUGACAGUUUCUAAUCCGUUGAAGAAAGGCUAUUUAGAACUGGAUGUUUCAUUAAGUAUGUGGCCUUAUCAACUGGAGAAGAUCUCUUGGCUGGAUAUGACAUAACGGAAUCCUUUAUUUGAUCAUAAUUGAUUUGAAGAUUAAGGAUCCGAUGAUUGACAAAGUAUAUUUGGAAGGUUCUACUUAUGGAAACCGAGAUCCUGAUUGUAUGGGCGAACAUGAUUGAUGGGCUAUCGACAUGUUUCUUUAAUAACUCGAAUGAUCUUCCUAAUUGAUUCCGUCCAACGAGUAGAUUGGAGGAAUUCCUUUGGUAAGUGCCAACGGGUAUGAUGGCAUGAAGGAGUAUAUAAGGAAGACGUUCCAAUUGUUCGAGUGUGUGCACGAUAGAAGAAUUUCAAAGUCUGAAGCUCCUUGUUCUUAGUCAAUUCAUUUGUUGAGCAAAAUCGUGUAAACAAAAGAGAGUCUAUAUUCGUGAGAAACCUUGAGGAAGUGUGGUAGAACAUCUACACUGUGGAAUCAAGGAAAAGCUGUGCUGUAACUUCUCUUUUGUUCAUAGUGAAAUCCAGCUGGUGGGCUGUCAGUGGGGAAGAGUGGACGUAGGCUUGGAAUAAGCCGAACCACUAUAAAUCUUGUGUUCAAUUUUCUCUUCCCUAACCUUUACUUUACUUUGAUCGUAUUUUCCUUUCUAUCGUUUGCCUAGAAUCACUUCCGUAUCUCGAGAAUUUGUUUGUAUACCUAUUCACCCCCCUCUAGGUGCUUAUACUAGCUAUCUCACCCUCUAGUUCAGGCCAGAGAGGUUUUUGUGAGAGAAAACAAGGCAGGGAUGGAUGUGAGGGGUCAGCAUGUUCAGCUUUCGCCCUUUGGGAGUGGGAAGAGAGGGUGUCCUGGAACCUCAUUGUCGCUUCAGGUCGUGCAGACGACUUCUGGCUUGUAUGGUUUGGUGUUCAAGUGGUGAGUGACCGGCAAGGUGGACAUGAAGGAGGGGCCCGGGACUACUCUUUCAAGGGAUCACCCCCUGAUUUGCGUCCCUGUGGCUAGGCCCGAUCCGUUCCCAUCGUCUUGAUGAUCUAGUCGGAUUGAAUUAAGAAAUUGCUUUUUUUUUUUUCAUGACAUUGUAGGUUUAGGAAUCUGUUUUCAGCACCCCUGAGGGUUGCAUGCUACAUAUCAAAUGCUCUGGAAUGUCCUGGAUAACCUCUAGCAGAUUGGGUCGAUCGUAAAUUACAAGUACGACAUUGACAAGUUAUUCAAAUACUAGAUAUUGUGAUCACUUCCAUCAUAUAAAAUUAGUUCCAUUUCUUGUUGAGUAGAAUUGUUGACGCGGGAAUGGGUGAGAGAAGUCCACAAGUGUUGUGUUCUAAGAUUUGGCGUAUGACUAAAAAACACAAAACUUGGAAAGAAACUAUUUUCCUUCGAGAAACGAAGUCAAAGUUAUGCGAAAUCAAAUUACUAGACAUCAUUUGCGUAGAGAACACAAAGAAAUCAACCAUAGGUGAAGCCCCGGGCAUUGGUACUCAUAUGAAGAACCUGCAUAUAUCGUGUGUCCUCAAAUGUAAGUUCGGAACUUUCAAAGGUUGCCUAUAAAAUGUGCAUGCUCAUUCCUUCCAAUUUGCGGGGUUUGUAGGUGUGAACUUCAAUUUAUGUCUAGUGGGUAUUAGAAUCAUCACACAACCAAUGUGUUCUAGUUAUAUUUCCUGGACUACGACUCAUUCCAACUUCAGGCCUAGGGCUAUAUCCUUGGACAAAUUGCUCCAAUUCAAUUGAAAUUGAAAAGGGGCAAAUUCCUUUGCUUCGGUUGGGGGUAUGUGUAAACUCCCUACAUUAGAUUGGCAAUUUGGCAUCAAUGUUGGGUCCAAAGUGAGAAUAAGAAAAAAUGAAGUGUAAGUAAUUCACUUGUAAUGCAUCACGAUAUUUUAAACCACACGUACCAUUACCAAUGCAAGUUAGUAAAUAAUUUGUCCGGACUAUUUAAAAUAGAUAUGAAAAAUAGUAUAUCGUAAUUGAUAAUAAGAUUAUUCUCAUAAAAAUUCAAUGAGUCCAAUUUAUGCACGAGAUAGUUCUAAUGCUUGCCUAAUUUUUAAGGGCAUUUUAAAAGUAAUCUUCUCUUUUAAGGAAAAAGUAAAACCAUUGUCAUCCAGCCACAUUAAAAAUCAGGAGAUGUAAAAUUUCUUAGGAUUAGGGUCGGGGCGAUCCAUCGGUACAACGGCCGGGAUUGUGGAGCUCACUUGGUCAAAUGGACAUCCGAGUGGACCCAACGCAAAGCAUAUGCUCUUUACCUCACGCCACGUGGGUAGUUGUUGUACUGCCCAUUCCCAAGCGAUUGCGGGACCUCUGCGACGGUCACGCUUCGUCCUGUGCUGGGCACUGAGUGUCGCGCGUGGCUCGUGCGUUUGGCCGACGUUGGGAUGUGGAGGGCCAGCUGAACGAGAUAAUAAUGUCGACCAAAGGCGUGGUCCGGAAACGACGGGAGAAAGUUGUCUGCUCUGUGGAGAGGAAGAGCUUUCAGGGGGCCCACCGAGCAAGUUGGAUCGAAAUUACAGGCUGGGGACAGAGUUGGGGAUCACCACUGAUCUCUGAACUCGCCCCUUUGUUCUGAUCCGAAAAUGGAAAAGAAUCAGGCUGAUAUGGAUAAGGAUAUAUGGGGGCCCCGUAUAUCCAUAUCCACGUCAGCCUUCUUUUCCAUUUUCGGUUCGGAAAAAAGAGACUGCUGGUUCGGCUGUUUCGUCUUUUGGCGCUUCCCGCCGACGCUACUCUUCGUUAAGCUUAAGAUUUGAACUCCCUUUUUUAAUGGAAACACUCAGGCAUAUUAGGAAUCCCCAAUAAUAUCUUAUGGCCACGGACCUAAGAGUAUGAGCAAAUGUUAAGGAUGAAAGGAGUUUUUAUUUAUAAAAAAAAUUGUUUCUUUACUUCUUAUUAGGAGUGUCAAUAGUUCGAUUCGAUUCGGUUUUUUUGAAAAAUCGAAUCGAACCGAACCGUUAGGAAAAUCUUCCGAACCGAACCGAACCAAAAAUUUCUGCUCGGUUCGGUUCUUUUUUUUAUUUUUUUUUCUUUCGGUCUUUGGAAACAAUUUCGUCAUAUGACUAUAUCAAUUGAAGCAAACAAUGCCCAACAACUUCAAGCUUCACAAGCCGAUGACUUGUUAAACAGCAGUCACACUCAUCAGAUCACAUAUAAAAUCAUCUCAUACAUUGCCAAAAGUAAAGAGGAAAAAAAGGAUUAUAUUUGAAAUCAUUGCAUAGAGUUCCUACCAGUCAUCAAUGAAAUUCUCCACUCAACUGCUUAUACAAGUACCGAAAAGGACUAAACCGUGUAAUAAGAUUCAGUUCACAAUGAAGAAGUUUUGCAUUUCUUCAAGCCAGUUGCAGCUGAUGUGGAGCGUGGAUUCUAUAAUUAUAUGAAGUGCAGUUGAAAUAUUCAGGAGUGAAGUGAUAGGUCCAAUAUCAACAGGACUUACCGUGUUUAUUCUGACAAACAAAGUUCCCAUGACACCAUCAAAACAUUCUUGUGCCAAAGGAGCAAUUCAUAUUCUCUGCUCAUUAUGGAAUUAUCACCACAAAGCAACAAAUCUAGUCACUCAGUUCAAAUAUCACUUCUUUUAACAGUGAGAACCACGACCAAGUGAUGCAAAAGCUAUUCUCGCAUUCCAUUGUUAAGGUCCCAUGUAAGAAUGCAGAACGCAUGAUCAGCAUGCCUCCAAAACAUUUUUUUGGCUCUAAGCUGUUGUUGUUCUCUCUUAUUGGUUCAGGAUACCACUAAAUGGGAAAUCACCUGAUUGUUCCACUUCAAAGGAUCAAUGUACAAACUGACCGAAACCAGAGCACCUGUGGACAGGAUGAUUGAUUAAUUACUGGAAUUUCUUGGUUUUCUUUGACCAUCCAGAGCAACCAAAUUUCCAACCAAAGUACAGGAUGAUUGAGCAAGACCCAACAUAUGGGACAUACACCGAGAAUCCUAACCAAGAUGAGAUCUUUCUACUCAUUCAUUUCCUAACAAGCCUUCCUGCUCCAAAUUAAUGCUGGUCAGUCAUUAAGUCCAUGUAAUGCUACAGACUCCGACAAUCAUACACAAGAGAACAGUCCCCCAAAACACUAAAAAAAGAAACCAAUCCGAUUCAAACCGAAACAUGAUCUUGCCAGGGUAAUGUGCAAAACAGAUAUCGUCACAACAAACAGCUCAUUCAAAUGAGCCCUCACAAGAUAACUUACUCCAAGAAGAGAGAAUUUCCCCAGAAAGAGAAAAGGGAAAAAUCGCACCUUCAAAGAGGCAAAUCGCUUUCGGGUUCCGAAACCAAGACCUGCAACGCCACCACCGUGGGAGCAAUUCGCAGAAGCAUCGGACCACCUGUGGAGCUUAUGAGGAGGAGGGCAGAGGGCACCACGCUGGCGCGAAGAGGACGGCGUCAGAGACGAAGAAGAAGGAGAAGAAGAGAAGCGCAAUGAAGACAGUCGAACCACAUCCACCAUCGAAGCCCCCAAGACUCGACCAUAAGCCAAAACCCAGAAGAGCAGAGCCGACUUUCUUCCCCCUCGGAGCUUCUGGGCACCGAGAAAUAGGGGCCAAAAACGCAGCUUUACCAAAGAAAGAGGGCGAGGGGAGACAUGGGAACGGAGGGUCGCCGUCGCCGUCGCAGUCGCCGUCGCAGUCGCCGUCGUCAUCGCCGUCGCCGUCGCCGUCGCCAUUGCACCUCCAACCGACCAAGACGAGACACAAGAGGAAAGGAGACGGGAGUCGGGAGUCGGGAGGGAAAAACCGAAUUUAUCGGUUUGUUGGUUCGGUAAUUGAUAAAAAUCGAACCAAUAAAAAAUUAUUGACUCUUUUAUGAAAAUAAACUGAAAAUAGAAUCAAACCAAAAAAAUCAAAUUUUUCGAUUCGAUUCGAUUUUCACACCUCUACUUCUUACAUCUUGUAACGAAAAUAUAACGAAAUCAUAUUUGAUUUUAUGGACAAAGCUGUUAAUUGGUGGUCGUAGAGUUCAAUAAAAGAACAAUCAGAUCAUCAGGUCAUAUUUGUGAGUUGAGUUGUUUGCAUUGCAAAAUAAAUCAGCUUGAAACCUGACGACCACUCACGUCGAGGUGAGAAAAUAUUGAGUGGGUUCGAAAUGUAUCACCAUAUAAAAUUCGACACGUGGCGAUUUUGGGCCCACCUGUCAGCGCCCACUCUCCCCAUUAACUCCGUCUCUCUCCCGUUUACCUUCUCUCCUCCCCUCCGUUUCUGCCCACAACUGUUUCUCCUCCUCUUCCCUCUCCACUUCUCUUUUCUUUUUUCUUGCGUCUGCCAUGGCUCGAGCUCGAGUCGGCUCAUGGCCGCUUCAGGUCAAGAAGGGACGGCGCGCCGCCGGAUGGAGACUGCGUUGAGCUUCGUUUGCGGUGAGAUAGCUUGAGGCCGAGCUCGAAACUCGAGCGCUAACCAAAGCUCCGAGUUUGAGGUCGAGCAAGUAUUGUCCAUGGCUGGCCACAGUGGCCGCCACUGCCUUGACUAUCGUCUUGCUUGAGGAAGAUGACGAGUCCGGCGGUGGCGCUUGGAGCGAGUCUAUUACGGAAGGAGGAGGAGAGCCGGGGGGCGGCGGUGGCGGACGACGUGGAGGCGGCCUGGGAGAGGAGGGCGCGGACGCGGGAGGGGUCGGCGGGCUGCUUCGGGGUGGGGAUGCGCUUCACGCCGGAGCGGCGGUUGGCGACGCACCAGGACUGGAUGAGGCGGCGGAGGGUGUGGUUGGGGAUGAGGGCGGAGUCGAGGAGCGGGGCGCGGGUGACGGGGCAGGUAGUGUUGCGGGCGGCGAUCCAGGGCUCGAUGCUGGACCGGUCGUAGGUCUGCCCCGUCGACACCGUCACCGGGUCCCGCAUCAGCUCCAGCGAGAUGGGGCACCGGAAGUGGUGCGGGAUCUGGACGCCCACCAUGUCCAGCGGCUCCAGGCUCAGCCCCACGCAUUUUUUUCUCUCUUGGAACGGCCCAAAAAAGCUCCCUUUUGUUCGUUACUGCACUCCCUCUCUCUCUCUAGAAUGUGGGCACUGGAUGAAGUGAAGGAUCGACCCUUGCAGAGCGCGCAGAUGGGCACUGGCGAAAUUCCUUCUCCGUUCGUGAGAGGACGCUGGUUUCUUCCUUAUACAAAAUCGGUAUUUCUUUCAAGUCUUCAGUGCAUUAACUCCCAUUGUAUCACCAUACAAAAUUCAACACGUGGCAAUUUUGGGCCCACCUGUCAGCGCCCACUCUCCUCCAUUAACUCGAGAAAAUAUUGGGUACGCCUUAUGUAUCAACGUGGCAAACAAAAAGGCGCUCGCAGCGCGACACGUGUCUCGUGGGACCCACGAUUUCAGGAGCUCGCGUCUCUCCAUCUUCUGCGCUUCUGUCUCUCUCCUCUCUCCAAAAUAACUCUGGGCUGGUGGCUCGGCUCGGCUCGGCUGGCAGAAGAAAGGACGACUCCCGCUUAAAAUUUCUCUCCUCACUUGAAUAUUUUGGGUUUCGUCUCUCUCUCUCUCCUCGUGAAGAGCAGAGAACGAGCUGCACCUCCUCUCUGUUUCCUUUUCUCAGCGCAUCCCACCCCCACCCCACGAGCGGCCCCCGCCUCCGGAGGGGCAGCGCCUGAGCCGUGCGGCCGGCGGAGGAGGCGGCGGCGUUGUGAGCGAGGACGGGAAGGCGGAGGAGGCCAAAGCGGCGCGGCGGCCGUGGAAUCUGAGGCCGAGGAGGGCGGUGAACCCUCCGCCGCUGUCGUUGAGGAACGGCGAGGCGUUUCACGACACCGCGGGCGGCACGCUCAGCGGGGACAAGGAGAAUUACGCCGCGCAGCAGCAGCAGUUGCAGCCGCAGCCGAAAUCCGUGUGGUUACGAGACUUCGUGGGGGAGGGCGAGAGGAAGGAGAAGAAGAGGCUUCUCUGCGCCCUCCCUCUUUCCGACCGGCAACCGACGAACCACCGCACCGGACCGGCGAGAGGACCGCGAGACCUAGCUCCCUCCCUCUUUCCGACCGGCGAACCACCGCACGGGACCGGCGAGAGGACCGCGAGCAAUCGACGAACCACUACACGGGACUGGCGAGAGGACCGCGACCUCCCUCUCUCUCUGCCCUCCCUCUUUCCGACCGGCGAACCACCGCGAGCAAAUCAGAUGUUUUUGUAGAGAUCUCCCAUCGUCGCCUUCAUCUUCUUUUCCCCCCUUUUUUUGUUUUGUUGGUUUUUUCCCCUAGUGUUCUGAUGAUGGAUCUGGAGUUGCAUAUGCUCGACGGCUUCUUCGGCGACCUCCCUGAGGCCAGCGACGUCAUCGGCGCUUGCUCCUCGACGAACGCAUUGUCAUCGUCUCCAGACUCGGGGCUCUCGUGGUUCAUCGAGAACAUCCUGAUGAAGGACAACGAGGACGGCAGAGUUGCCGGUGGCGGGAUUAGGGCUGAUUCGAGCCAGGAGUUCUGCGAUAGGUUCCUCGCUGACGUGCUCGUUGACUCCCCCGGAGAUGGGUCCGCGGAGAUAGCUGACGGGUCCGGCGACAAGGAGGAGCCUGGAUCGUCAUCCGACGGCUGGGUCGAGGCUGCGAAGGUUGAUGGGGCUAACGUUGGUGGUGAAGCCUAUGAUCCUGCUUCUAAGAAGCUCAGGAGGUACGUUGAUUAGGUUCUCUUGCACUUCUCGUGUGAUUAUUAAGCUUAUUAUAUGAUGCAUUCUGAUUGCUCAGGUGGGUUCACUAACACCUGAGAAGGCAAUUUCUGAUGCCAUUUUACGACAAGCAAAAAGGCCUUGCAAUUAUUACUGUUGUGAAAGUUGGUAUGAUGGUACCGGCCUUGUGGUUGCUCGUAGGGAAGACGGCUCAUGGUCUCCACCUUCUACAAUUUCUUCAUGUGGAAUAGGGUGGGGAGCAAAGGUAGGCUCGUUUUAUCGUAUCCCUGGAUUUUGAUUUCAUCAACCUUAAGGGCCAAGUGUCGAAACCAACAAGUGUUUUUGGCUUUCAUGCAAUCUGCAGAUUAACCACGUGUAUCAACGUGCUCAAAAUGAUUGUUUAGAUAAUAAACAUCAAUUUGAUUUUUUACUCCAUCCGGAAUGCUUGACGUAUUGUCUGCUUCAUUUCCAUGGUCUCUGUGAGAAUUUUCCUUUGUAAAUGUCUGGUCUGUCAUCCUUCUAUUUCAUGGAAUGUGCCAUUUGUUUCUCCUUUCUGGAACUCUAUCUAAGAACAGUAUUUCUCAGGAUGAGAUUUGGACUUUUUGUUUGAUUACCAUGUUGCCAUUGAGUUUUCAAGUUCCUUUUUGCAUCUCUGUUCCCUUUCUCUGAAUUUGUGUUUUGCUUUAUUGUGGAAGUGGGAGAAAGUCCCUGAGCCAGAGAUGUGUACCCCUUUCAUAUAAUCGUUCCCUUUCUGUUAACAUGUCUAUCACAUUAAUAGCUUCUGCUUGUGUGGCUUAAGCUCGAGCAAAGAAGUCUUGCAUAAAACAUAAAAAUCAACUAAAGAAAUCUUUAGUCGAUUCCCCUUCCUCCCGAAAUGAUAACAACAAUAAUAGUAAAAAUCAGAUGAUGCAUGCUUGAGGAGAUACUUGGAAGCUUGAAACUGGAACAUAGAUAAAGCAAAGAGAUGAGACACUGAAAUGGAGAUCAACUCUUAAGCCUGAGGAAAUCAGCUGGGUAAGAUGGCUAAGUGUCCUGGUGAAUGAAUACCUGCGCGAGUAUUGUGAUAGAUAAUUUAUGCCGAUGGCUGUUGCCUGUUAAACUUCAAUAGACAUCCGAUCCUUGUUACCCUAACUAUUGUGUUGACCUGAUAAUUAAUUUUAUUUUGUAGACUAAGUUCCUGGUAUGGAAAAGGACUGAUUUUCUGAAUGAAUGCGAAUGCAGGAUUGGUGUUAGUCAACAAUAAUUGAGUGGCUCUCAACUUUUGUGUCUUCUAUGAGACUGCCAUGAUGCAGUGAUAUGAAGCAUUAGGUGUUGGAGAGUUUAUUGUUCAAGGGACACUAAGUGUCCCAAUAUAUUUUUUCACUCAUGCUGUUUCCAAAAUCAUCAUUUAGACCGUUUUAGUUGACAAUAUGGCUAAUGAGCAGGUUGUGUUAGACAUGCAAUAGUACUUAUUGGGACGCUGAAUAAUGCUUCCAUUUGACAAUGUGAUGCUUACUAAAACAGGAAGAAGUUGCUAUUGAAGGUGAAACUGGAAAAGUAUACAGAGCAAGUUUUCAUGAUCGUUAUGGAAGGAGUGUUCUUAUAUUGAGACCUGGAAUGCAGGUAUUUAUCCAUCCUGUUGUUGCUAAUUUCUGUAGCUUUUAUUUUCUAUUACCUAUUAACUUGGCAAUAAAUCUUGCAGAAUACUCAUGUACUGUUUGAUGAGGACUACAUCAUGUACUGGUGGAGGUCGGAACUCAUGGAAUACGAAGAUGGCGAACUCUCAUGGUUCAAUACCGGAGUGAGAGUUGGAGUUGGAAUUGGAGACUCAAUUACGGCGGUCUUAAGUGACCAUUGCGACGGAGACGACCACCACCAUGGGGGUUGUUGUGGUGUUGGUGUUGCCCGCCAUCGAGGAGGACGUCGCUGUUGUCCUAGAGCUUCUUAGAAGUAGGAUCAUUUGGUCCACAUUUUCUUUCAAAUUUGUGCAAGCCGAGAAGCUCAGAAUCUUUAAUUUUCCCUUGUUUUCGCUUUGUGCGUGGCCGGCCUUUGGGCCGUUGGUUGCGAAGCUCAAUCCAUAUGAUCUUAAGAGUGCUUACAUGUGCCAUGUUGGAGAGGUUUCACUUUUGCUGGCUCCUUAGUUGAUCAGGCUAAACUUGUCAUUCCAUGAUCUCCAAGUACAUGGCAAUGUUUUUAGUUUCGAGCUGUGACUAGUGAGAGCAUCAAACCAGCAGACACUUCCUGAUAUGGUUCGCCAGGUUGUUUAUCACGACUUUGUUGCUGCUAUGACAAACUGCUCUUGACCUACAAGUGCAGAUUCCACGAGGUGCUAGUUAAUAUGUUCCAGUCCUACGUUAGUCAGGCAGAGACAUGUAGAUGAAAAAGGCUUCUGGCCAUUAACCAUCUGAACAAUCGGGCUCUCAAUUCUAGAUGGAAAAUUUGCCGGAGCAAACCGUGUUCCCUCUCUCAUUGCCAUUGUCUUCAAUGAGAUGAAUUUAACAAGCAACAAACCACAGGUUCUCCGCAACCUCAUGCCUCCGUUCUCGCUUUGGUUUCUCAGGUCAAUCUUCGGUUAUACGUUAGGUCAGGACAUAAAUUUUUGUAGGGUUCAUUUCUUGGACGCCUAGUCUUGGUCUAUUUAUUGAGCCACUUCCUAAUCCUUCUUCACAUUACCACCUUCCUAAUCACACUCGGUUCCCCCACCAUUUGACGACUAACGAGAAAUUGCAUGGGAACAUAGAUCUAGCACAAGAUAAUUAACAAGAAAUCGCAAUGAUCUGUAUGCACUACUUCGAAAUAGGGGGGGAGGUGGACUUCCAUUACACUGCAUUGACUCGAGUCUAAUGCGCGGUGCAGUACCGAACAAGAUCCAUAGAAGAGCUGUAUAUCAGGUCGUGACCACGCAACCUGUUUUUCUGGGUUCAUCAUGAACAAUCACAUAAAAUUUCCUCCAUCAUCUAGGACAUGCCCAAGCAAUCUUCAAAGUAAUUUGAAAAGAAGGGUGGUUUUUGCUUGUCUUCCCCAAUACCCUGAGUAAACACCAAAUAUGAAAUGUAUAGCUAUAUGUACAUUCCAAAGAUUGAUCCCAGCAAUUAUAACUAUUUACAUAUUCCUCUCCCGAAACCCCCCGGCGAAGAGAGGGAAGCAAUGAGUUUGAACAUGCUAUACACUUGAUAAGAAUAGACAACUUUACAGUGGCAAGAAUUGCAGUUAAGAACUUCCAUAGGCAGUAUCGGAGACAAUUGGCCAAGCUGUACGGCACUAAUAUGGUGAUGACCACUCCAGCUUCUGAUACAUGUCUGCGAGUGCGUUAAAAAGGAUGGCAGCAGCUGGUGGCCUCGGCAAUGAACCAAGUAGUAUGUACAAUGCAUUUAUAGACGGGCUGCCAUAAAAUUGGCAAUUUUCUCUUGUCGGCGUUGUCACCACACUGCCUUGAAGGGAGCAUCCAACAAAAGCACCUGCCAAUUAUUUUAUGAAAAAAUUGAGAACAAUUAAAGAACUUCAGAAAGCGGAACGAGCCCCCACAGACUGCUGGCAAUGAAAUGAUAGGAAAAUGAGAAAUACAAAUUCUAAACCUCUCCAACUUUUUACUAUGAGCAUCUCAAUUUAAGUAGGAUCUAUGACGAAUCAAGCUCGGUGUUCUCUCAAAUGAUUGCUUAUUCAAAAAUAUCCCUGCAGAAGCUUUCUCAACUAAUGUCUCUCCCUUUUCCCCUUUCUUUGGCACUAAGAAAUGGGCAACAAGCAAGCUUCUCAAGAAAUGCUCUUUGUAGAAACUUUUUCAAACAAUGAUCUAAUGAAAACAGCUUCACAUAGCUUGAAAAGGUAAAGAGUAUCAUCAUUUUAUUGAAUAUAUAACUAGAAGAGUAUUUUAAGUAAUCGGAGAAUAGUCUUUUACAUGACUGCCUAAGGACAGAUACCCAUGCCAUACAAGCUAGACUACAUAGCUCACCUCAGCAACAGAGACAAAUGAGGAAGAAAGAAAGAGAGUGAACAAGAUCCUUUUCAAAAUGAGCAGUUUUUCUAUGUCCCGAGACUAUUAUUGCAUCGACUUAGGACUUAAUAAAAAUAGAGAAAUUACUAUCACAUUAAAACGGUUAAUAUCAUAGGAUACUAUCAAUGUUUUUUUGCAUAGCAAUGUAUACAUACCCCAAAAAUCAGUCCAGAGGACAACUCCACAGUUUAAAAGGAAAAAUAGCUAUAUAGAUGAGUACCUUUACUAUAGCUGUACGUAUAACAAGCAGAACAGCCACCAUCCCCCGCUCAUACAUCAGCUUCAGCAGCCCUUCCAAUGGGACCAACUACUGCACUCAAACUAGCCCCAACUGAAAAAUGAGCAGUACCACCAAAUGUCUUCACAGCCUCAGUUGUUCUCAACACCAUAACGAAGUCUGUCAAUUCUCCUCCAGCCUGCAAUCACCCUUGACUGGUUACUAUUGACUGGAAUAAGGAUAUCUCUACAUAAAAAUAUAACACAAAAUCAAACAUUUCUUGCAAGGAUAAUCUUUUCAUUUAUGUAUUUGAUUUUUACUAUUAUUGUUGUUAUCAUUUCGGGAGGAAGGGGAAUCGACUAAAGAUUUCUUUAGUUGAUUUUUAUGUUUUAUGCAAGACUUCUUUGCUCGAGCUUAAGCCACACAAGCAGAAGCUAUUAAUGUGAUAGACAUGUUAACAGAAAGGGAACGAUUAUAAGCAACACAAGGGCAAUCUCUGGCUCAGGGACUUCUCCCACUUCCACAAUAAAGCAAAACACAAAUUCAGAGAAAGGGAACAGAGAUGCAGAAAGGAACUUGAAAACUCAAUGGCAACAUGGUAAUCAAACAAAAAGUCCAAAUCUCAUCCUGAGAAAUACUGUUCUUAGAUAGAGUUCCAGAAAGGAGAAACAAAUGGCACAUUCCAUGAAAUAGAAGGAUGACAGACCAGACAUUUACAAAGGAAAAUUCUCACAGAGACCAUGGAAAUGAAGCAGACAAUACGUCAAGCAUUCCGGAUGGAGUAAAAAAUCAAAUUGAUGUUUAUUAUCUAAACAAUCAUUUUGAGCACGUUGAUACACGUGGUUAAUCUGCAGAUUGCAUGAAAGCCAAAAACACUUGUUGGUUUCGACACUUGGCCCUUAAGGUUGAUGAAAUCAAAAUCCAGGGAUACGAUAAAACGAGCCUACCUUUGCUCCCCACCCUAUUCCACAUGAAGAAAUUGUAGAAGGUGGAGACCAUGAGCCGUCUUCCCUACGAGCAACCACAAGGCCGGUACCAUCAUACCAACUUUCACAACAGUAAUAAUUGCAAGGCCUUUUUGCUUGUCGUAAAAUGGCAUCAGAAAUUGCCUUCUCAGGUGUUAGUGAACCCACCUGAGCAAUCAGAAUGCAUCAUAUAAUAAGCUUAAUAAUCACACGAGAAGUGCAAGAGAACCUAAUCAACGUACCUCCUGAGCUUCUUAGAAGCAGGAUCAUAGGCUUCACCACCAACGUUAGCCCCAUCAACCUUCGCAGCCUCGACCCAGCCGUCGGAUGACGAUCCAGGCUCCUCCUUGUCGCCGGACCCGUCAGCUAUCUCCGCGGACCCAUCUCCGGGGGAGUCAACGAGCACGUCAGCGAGGAACCUAUCGCAGAACUCCUGGCUCGAAUCAGCCCUAAUCCCGCCACCGGCAACUCUGCCGUCCUCGUUGUCCUUCAUCAGGAUGUUCUCGAUGAACCACGAGAGCCCCGAGUCUGGAGACGAUGACAAUGCGUUCGUCGAGGAGCAAGCGCCGAUGACGUCGCUGGCCUCAGGGAGGUCGCCGAAGAAGCCGUCGAGCAUAUGCAACUCCAGAUCCAUCAUCAGAACACUAGGGGAAAAAACCAACAAAACAAAAAAAGGGGGGAAAAGAAGAUGAAGGCGACGAUGGGAGAUCUCUACAAAAACAUCUGAUUUGCUCGCGGUGGUUCGCCGGUCGGAAAGAGGGAGGGCAGAGAGAGAGGGAGGUCGCGGUCCUCUCGCCAGUCCCGUGUAGUGGUUCGUCGAUUGCUCGCGGUCCUCUCGCCGGUCCCGUGCGGUGGUUCGCCGGUCGGAAAGAGGGAGGGAGCUAGGUCUCGCGGUCCUCUCGCCGGUCCGGUGCGGUGGUUCGUCGGUUGCCGGUCGGAAAGAGGGAGGGCGCAGAGAAGCCUCUUCUUCUCCUUCCUCUCGCCCUCCCCCACGAAGUCUCGUAACCACACGGAUUUCGGCUGCGGCUGCAACUGCUGCUGCUGCGCGGCGUAAUUCUCCUUGUCCCCGCUGAGCGUGCCGCCCGCGGUGUCGUGAAACGCCUCGCCGUUCCUCAACGACAGCGGCGGAGGGUUCACCGCCCUCCUCGGCCUCAGAUUCCACGGCCGCCGCGCCGCUUUGGCCUCCUCCGCCUUCCCGUCCUCGCUCACAACGCCGCCGCCUCCUCCGCCGGCCGCACGGCUCAGGCGCUGCCCCUCCGGAGGCGGGGGCCGCUCGUGGGGUGGGGGUGGGAUGCGCUGAGAAAAGGAAACAGAGAGGAGGUGCAGCUCGUUCUCUGCUCUUCACGAGGAGAGAGAGAGAGACGAAACCCAAAAUAUUCAAGUGAGGAGAGAAAUUUUAAGCGGGAGUCGUCCUUUCUUCUGCCAGCCGAGCCGAGCCGAGCCACCAGCCCAGAGUUAUUUUGGAGAGAGGAGAGAGACAGAAGCGCAGAAGAUGGAGAGACGCGAGCUCCUGAAAUCGUGGGUCCCACGAGACACGUGUCGCGCUGCGAGCGCCUUUUUGUUUGCCACGUUGAUACAUAAGGCGUACCCAAUAUUUUCUCGAGUUAAUGGAGGAGAGUGGGCGCUGACAGGUGGGCCCAAAAUUGCCACGUGUUGAAUUUUGUAUGGUGAUACAAUGGGAGUUAAUGCACUGAAGACUUGAAAGAAAUAUCGAGAUUCAAUAGGCAGCCCCUUUACUUUUCUGAUAAAAGCUGGUUAUUGAAAAAACGCAAGUUCACAAACAGAUCGGCUAGGCUCAGUUCUGUUUUUCACUUGCAGCUAUCAAGAGGAGCACCGCACAAGCACCGGUUGUGGAAGUACACCGUGUAAUCGAAGCUCUGCAACCGCCCGCCCACCGGAAUCUCCCCGCACAGCCGGUUGUAGCUCACGUUCAGGAGCUGGAGCUCCAGACCCGCCAUAGCCUUCGGAAUCGACCCGUAUAUCUUAUUAUGGUUCAUGUCCAGGGUCGUCAAGCUCUCGUUAAAAUCCACCUUCGACAGGUCGAACUCGAACUGGUUCCUCGAGAUGUCGAUGUGGUACGUGCUCUUGUUCCUUCCGAGCACCAGCGAUGCGUCCCCUUGAAGCCUGUUCCGGGAAAGGUCGAGCUUCCCGAAGUCGACGCCGGCGAAGGUCGCCGGGAGCUCGCCGGAGAGGCUGUUGUGGGAGAGGAUGAGGUAGAGGUCGUUACCCUUGAGGUUGGCAAGGGAAGCCGGUAUCUUCCCGGUGAGCUGGUUACGGUCGAGGCCGACGUAGCCGAGGCCGGGGAUGGUGGAGAGAGAGUCGGGAUGCUGCCGGUAAGCUUGUUGAAGGAGAGGUUGACGUAGGUGAGGUUCUUGAGCUGGCCGAGGAAGGAGGGGAUUGGGCCGGUGAGAUUGAGCCAGCUGAGGCUCAAGAAAUUAAGGUACUUGAGCUUGAUGAAGGACUCUGGGAUCGGGCCGGUGAAGUUGGAGAGCUUGUGGAGGGUGAGGGAUUGGAGGUAAGUGAGGUCGCCGAUGGCGGAGGGAAUUUGGCCGGGAAGGUCGUAGGCGAGGAAGAAGAGGGAUAUGACGCGGUGGGUCUUGUAGUGGCACUUGAGGCAGUACCAGUAGCAGCAGUCGGCGUCCGGGUCCCAGGAGGCGAGGAGGUAGGGGUUGUUGAGGGAGGACUUUAUGCGGAGGAGGACCUCCUUGUCCUCGGGGUGGCACAGGAUGGCGGAGGCGGGGCGGAGGAGGAAGAAGGAGAGGAGGAGGCGGGCCAGAGACAUCGUUGAAGGUGGUGGUGGGGGGGCAUGAGUUUUGGAUGAGUGAGGAAGGGUGAGGAAGGAGGAGGCGUGGAGAGUUGUAAUUUAUAGGAGGAAGUCGUGGUUCGUCCGGGAGCCAGAAAAUAUUAGGUGCGCCGGGCGCUCCACGUCACCGUGCGCCCCGCCCAAUCAGGAUACGACACAUGUCGACACGUGGAGCCGGGUCCCACUUUUAUUUUUAGUCAAAUUUUUGCCGCGUCCUUCUCCCGCCCUUCGCAUUUGAAGUGCCCUUUCUCUUCUGUCUUCUCCCGCACGAAGUCUCUCUCACAAAAAUCUUUCUCCGCCUCCUUCGACACCGACGAUCAGCACCGCCCGAGCGCCCUCCUCGUCCGGCGGUACUCGAUCUCGCCGCCGCACGCGCCUCCUCGCGCCUCGCAGCUCCGCUGGCCUCCAAGGUCGCGCUUCGAGCCGCGAAGUCGCGGAAGUCGUUGNNNNNNNNNNNNNNNNNNNNNNNNNNNNNNNNNNNNNNNNNNNNNNNNNNNNNNNNNNNNNNNNNNNNNNNNNNNNNNNNNNNNNNNNNNNNNNNNNNNNCCUUCGACGCCAACGACCAGUCGACACGUGAGCCGGGUCCCACUUUUAUUUUAGUCAAAUUUUUGCCGCGUCCUUCUCCCGCCCUUCGCAUUUGAAGUGCCCUUUCUCUUCUGUCUUCUCCCGCACGAAGUCUCUCUCACAAAAAUCUUUCUCCGCCUCUUUCGACACCGACGAUCAGCACCGCCCGAGCGCCCUCCUCGUCCGGCGGUACUCGAUCUCCGCCGCCGCCACCGCCGCCUCCUCGCCGCCCUCGCAGCUCCCGCUGGCCUCCAAGGUCCGCGGCUUCGAGCCGCGGAAGUCGUCGUCGACCUCCGCCUCCUUCGACGCCGACGACCAGCACCAGCCGAGCGCCCCCCUCGUCCGGCGGUACUCGAUCUCCGCCGCCGCCCUCGCAGCUCCUGCUGGCCUCCAAGGUCCAGCGGCUCGCGGACAAUGUCCAGGUUUUUCCGAAACUCUUCGAUCGUCUCUCGCGCUCUGUUUUGGCUCCCGAUUAAGUUGGGGGAUUUGCCUGUUUCGAAUUUUUGCUUCUUGCUUCGGUCGAUUCCUUCUCUGUUGCCGAACUCUGAGAAGAGCGAUUUCCGGAUGCAGCUUGCGAGGCAGGAUUACUUGGAGCUGAGACAAGAGGCGAGCGAAGUGCAGGAGUAUUCCAACGCGAAGCUCGAUCGAGUGACGCGCUACCUCAGCGUUCUCGCAGACAAGAUGCGGAAACUAGGUGAGGCGGUGCGGCGUCUGUUGUGCCUCGACGCACGUUUGCUUUCUCAUUUCGGUUUUUGACAGGUUCUGUGCUUUGUGUCAGAUCAAGUCGCCCUUGAAGGUGAGGCUAGGAUAGCACCGCUCGUCAGUGAGAAAGAGGAAGUUGUUCAAUGAGUUGUUGAAAUCCAAAGGUCAGUCUUUGGUUUCUUAAUUGAGUUCUCCCACUUUCCACACGAAGCACGUGGAGUGGAAGUACUUGGAUAUGAGCUGAUAAUUCAGAAAAUUUAUUGUUUGAAUUGCAAUUCAUUUUCGGGAUGAUGUUCCUGUUGGAUGGAUGGGUAGAGAUAGCUUGCUUGUAUGGCAAUUUUGCAGUGUGUAGUAGGAGAACAAAACUUGAGUUUAACGAGUAAGAUCGAGUUGGAAUAUGACUGAUAGAGUUUUAGCGAUGAAGUGCAGAUUAACUUGAGAUAACAGUUGCCAGUUUGUCAUGCAUUUCUGAUCGUUGUUAGUCUGAAAAAUUGAGCUGUUUGUUAGUUAAGGACUCAUUAUGCCUCAUAGAUUCGUUAAUCUGUAAAUGGAGACCAGAUAUCAAGAACGAAAAUGAUUUUUUACUCUCUAUAUGUCUUCUCCUUCUAGAUCAGUCUGAUACUUUGAUUGAUGGUUACAUAGAAAUUGAAUCUCUUGGAUUAAACUUAUGGAAGAACUCCCAAGAAAUAUGGUUUCACUAGAGCAAUUAUGACCUGGAAGUCAAUCCGGGGCAAGUGUUCGGAUCUAUUAUGACAUAGCCAUGAGGCGCGCAACGGACCUUUUUAAUCUUCUACAACCUUUUCCGGGCUUUAAAUUGAUGCAAAAAACAUUUUUUUGUGCAACCUAGUGUAAGUGUAUUUAUUAAUAUCUCAAUUCAAAGUUUCUAGACAUCGCUACUUUAUGUCUUACAUUAGAGAGAACAUGUAUAUAUUAAUUAUUUAUAUUAAUUAUUAUAUUAAUUAUCAUUAAUUUCCAUUUGGACUCCUUUCACAUCAUCAAUUCACCAUUGAUUGCCCAAUCACUUGAUUGGUCGACCUAAGUUAUACUAAUAGUGUUUUAAGUGAGAAGGACAGAUCAUCUUCAAGCCAUUUGGUUGGCUAUGAGUGCAGGAGGUGCACACACGUUAAUUAACUGUUUGGUUUAGAAGUUGGGCUAUUUGUUAGUUAGUUGCUGAGGGACUAUAGUUCAAUUGGUUACUCUCUAAUGGAAGCACAGAAAUCGAUCAAGAUAGGGAAUUCCUCUGUUCUUUGUGUGCUCUCUUCUCUUACUAUAAUAAUUUGUUUCAACAGCUCUUCUCUUCAAUUUCCAGUCCUCCCUUUUUGAGGCUGUACGAAGUUUUUUGGUCAGAAAUUUAUGGGUAUUUUCCUUUCCUAUGAUGAUUUGAAGAUGCUUUUAAUUUCAGGGAACAUAAAGGUAUUCUGUCGUUCGAGACCAUUAUUUGAAGACGAAGGUCCCUCUGCUGUAGAAUUCCUUGAUUACUAUCUGUGUCGACACUAGUGAUGAGACCAGUACCAAUCCUAAGAAAGAUUAUGAAUUCGAUAGGGUGUAUGGACCUCAUGUUGGACAGGGUGAGCUAGAAAAUGAUUAAUUUUGUUACAUAACAGGCAGCAUUUGAAAAUUUUUUGGUACAUACUAGCUACAUGGCUGGUGGUUUGCAUGGAGGUUUGUUAUCUUACGGUAGGACUGGUGCAUGUGCAGCUGAUAUAUUUAAUGAUGUUCAACUGUUGGUUCAAUCAGCUUUGGAUGGAUUUAAUGUGUCAAUAUUUGCUUAUGGACAAAGUAACUCAGGAAAGAUGCACACUUGAAAAUUUUUUGGUACAUACUAGCUACAUGGCUGGUGGUUUGCAUGGAGGUUUGUUAUCUUACGGUAGGACUGGUGCAUGUGCAGCUGAUAUAUUUAAUGAUGUUCAACUGUUGGUUCAAUCAGCUUUGGAUGGAUUUAAUGUGUCAAUAUUUGCUUAUGGACAAAGUAACUCAGGAAAGAUGCACACUAUGGUCUCUCUCUCAAACAUGCUCCCAUUGAAUAUUAUCUCCCUAUGAGCUAAAUAUCCAAAUAUUUAAGGAGCUAAAAGUUCUGCUGCUUGCAUUUCUUAGAUCUUAUUGUCAUUGGUUUGAUCUUUGGCAAUCAUAGUUAUCUGAACGGGGGCCUUUGUAACAUUAUGAUGAACCACGUUCACCCACCAUGUCAUUCCACAAAAUUCUGAUAUGGAAGUUGACAUGAUGGUGUUUUUUGAUGCUUUUCAGGAAGGAUCUAGCCAUGAUCGUGGUCUGUAUGCUCGUUGUUUCGAGGAGUUCUUCGAUUUUGUGAAUUCAGAUGCAACUGCUACAUCUAGAUAUGACUUUUCUGUCACAGUUUUUGAACUCCACAAUGAACAGGUUUCUUUUCUUUUUUACUCACCAUAAAUAGCUUCAAGUUAGGUGUUUUGAAUGUGUACGUCUUGUCUUGAUGUAAUCGUGCUUCCACAUGCUUAUUUAUGUAGGUACGAGAUUUGGUGCAUGAAUCAGGAAGGAAUUCAUCGAAAAUCUGCAUGGGAUCUUCGGAUUUUUUUGUCGAACUUACACAGGAAAAGGUCGACAAUCCAUUGGAUUUUCUGAAGGUUCUGAAAGACGCAUUUCAAAGUCGAGGAAAAUGAUGUUUUGAAGUUCAAUAUUUCUCACUUGUACGGUUUGAAUUCCACGCACCCUCUCUUGUUGCUUUUCUGGGUUUUGUGCUUUCUUGAUAUAUUAUGAUGACAAUGUUAGCUAGAAACUUCAUUUUGCUGAAGGGUGAAUAACUGUGCAAUUUUUUCUUUUUGAAAGAAUUCAAAAAUAAUUCGUGAGGAUACAAAGAAUGAAAAAUAAAUUUGAGCAAUUAGUACAGAUAUACCGUAAUGUCUACUAUUAUCAAUUACCCUCUUAAACAGAUUCAAUUGAUUGUGGUGCCAAGCUUCUGAAAUGAACAAUAAUGUUUUCCUUAGAUAUUAGGAACAGCAUUUGUUCAUACCUUUCGUAAUCAGAGUUUCAAGCCCCUCUUGGCUGCUUUAUCAUCAUUAGAUGGAUUAGUUUGUUUGGCUGAAAUUAUUUAUAGGUAUUGCAUGGAAGAGGAUGCUACUCAACCUAGUUGUUUACUUUUACUUUCAGGGAGUACCACACCUUGAUAAUUUUAGGAGAGGAUUUUUUCUUUUACUUUUAAAGCCAAAGCUGAACACUAGCGAUACACAUGAUAAUUACAAAACGUUAUACUUGAUUAAGUACACGGCAGUGACCUCUAACCCUCCCAUGCCCAAGCCAUUGUUCAGUUUUAAUUGAUACUUUUUGAUGUAUUCUCCUGUUAUAUAAUCAGGAUCGUGACAAUCCAUAUAUCCUACAACAACUUGGUUACUGGAGAAAACCUGUAUAGCAAGCUUUCUCUUGUUGAUUCGGCCUCCUUUUACUCAUGGGCUAAAGUGAAAGGCAUUUGACUUGUCUGCUUCCUCUAUUGUUUUCAUGGGCUGUAUUGGCUUUUCAUAUGUGGAGGCUUUUGCUCCAUUGACUAAGUUUUUUUCUUAUAUUUUUGGGUGAUUAUGCAAGGUGCUCUUCAGUUUACUUCUUUCUUUUGGUAACGAUACUUUCUCAGAUUUUUGACAUGCUUAUCAUUCUUUUUAGAUAUCAAGUCCAUUAUCGAAAGGAACCGCAAACAUGCCAUCUCGGUACGUUUCUGAGAUGAAACUUGCUUUUUGUGAUUCUAGCCUACACCAUGUUUCACACUGUCCAUUCUUCCAUUGUCGGUUUUUCCAGGACAAGUAACAAUGAUGUCGGACGUACUCUGGAUGUUGUUCCUUCGCCAUUAAGUGCUGAAAAGUCUGCCGGUUCAGUUGCUCUGGUCAAAGCAAGUUCUGAGAAAGUUAAAACUAAGACCUGCAGGAGAAUACCUGACUGCAGGUGCUGCGUGAGGCAAAAUGCUGCUCGGAACUGCUCUAAAACUUGAGAAAAACAAGCCUGUAAUCCCAAAAAAGGACUAACUGUUGCCAAAAGUCGAGAGAGUUCUCUUCAAACAAGACCAAGCCAAUGUCAUGCUUCUACACAAGAUAAAACAUGUUGGAUUUAUUUCUUUCUCGGAAUUUGUAUUGUGAACGCAAACAUGUGUCCUAUUAGCUUAGUAGUUGAAGUAUGAAUUGUAAACAUUAGAAGGAUGAAAUAUUCAUUUGUUAAUGUAAGUAAAUUUCAUCUUGGUUUCUUUACUUACUUUGUGUAACAAGAGAUUCAUUUGUCAAUUGCAAUAUGAGGAGAAUUUUGAUAUUUAAUUUAUGAAUGUGUUAUCUACAUGAAGACUUUUCAUGGAGGAGAGAAUUCAAUAGUUCAAGAGAAUAAAUUAUAAAUUCAAAGUGCAAUUUCAAGAGUUGAUCUCCGUCGUAUGUUGUUCAACUUGUUCUCACAUUAACUCAUCUUUCAUUUGGGGAAAACGCCAAAUUUGCACAAAGAAGUGAGUGGCAUCAAUGUGAUUCAAAAUUCAAAGUGCCAAGUUUCAACAGGAGUUAAUAAUCACAUUAUGAACGAAAUUGUUCAUUACAUCAAGUCUUGUGUAUUGAUUUAACAAGGGAAUUGAUAUCAGGUUAAACACUUCAUAAAUCUGCAAGAGUAACUCCACAUUUAGAAGCUCAACCACAAGUUCUGGGAAAUCUAUGCCACAUUGGCAGGACAAAUGAAACAGGGAGCUUGAAGAUAAUGACCAUGGAAGUAGAGAAGAAGCAGGACAUCGGGAACACCAUGUCUCCUGAUUGAUUAUCCUUGGUUGAUCACUUUCUUCUUUAUUAAUGACAAGCACUAUUCUCUAAUAACAAAGUUAAUUGAAUAAGCAUUGAACCAACAUGAAAAAGCCAUUCAUAUUUAUCCAAGGCUCGGAUGUCACCAAAACAAGGAUCGCUUGCAAAUUCGGAUGCCGGGAAUAUCCUCCAAACCCAUUUUCAGUGCUGUCUUUCGGAAUAGCACAAGAGGAUUUUUCAAACCAAUGGACUUGCAAAAUCAGUUGGCUAGCUCCACAAGUGUUGUUUUGUCCCUCCCAAUCUCCCUGAUCGAGUUAUAGUAGCCAAAGCCAAGCAUGGUAUGCUGCUUCUUUAAAACUAGUAACAACAGUAAAACCUAUGCCAAUCAAAGCAACUGCACCAUCGUGCAUGUGAAUGAACAUAAGUGACUUGAGUUUGCAUUAAAACCUGCCACAUGCUUAUUGUAGAACGAAGAAAAUAUACAAAGAAGCUUCUUAAAACAGCAUAUUGUCAUAUUCAACUAGAUAAUUGAUGCGUUUAGACAAUGGGAACUUGUUUGGUGCCCCAUCAACAAUUAAGCAAAACACCAACCAAAAAAAAAAAAAAAUGACAAUAGGUAAAAACAUCAUCUAACCGUAGUCCACCUCAUAAGUAGUAAGAAAUUGAAACAUUGAUUCUUUGCUUUUCAUUAACACAAAAGAUGCAGCUGAAAAUCUUACCCAAAAAAAGAUGCAGCUGAAAAAAAAAUCAUCUCAUAGCAAUACUCACCGUCCAUCAUGGCCAUCAAAAUGCUCGAUCCAAUCAGGCAAAUGCUUUCUAGCACUUUUCCUUCAGGCUUGUUCAAAUUGAGGCGGCUCAUCUAGAUAGUCACAACGUUACAUAUAUGAACUAUAUGAAUGAACCUUUUUUAGGAAUCCGGCAACAAUAAGAAGAUCAAUAACUUCGUUUAGAUUGUGUAGAGUCUGCAUAGUAUUGACCUUACCAUUAGAAUUAAGCUUCCUAGUAACAGCAUGGCCCUGCAGAAGUAUUGCUACAAGUCUUGGAUGACCAACACCCCAUCCGUGCUAGGGUGUUGGUCAUCUCUUGAAUAUGCCUUUUAAAUAAACCAUGCCCUUCUCACUGAGCUGAAACUCCUUCCUCAUCUGCUCAACUUGCUGAUCAAUCCCCUGAACAACGAUCUCCAAUAGCGUCUAGUCUUCCGCCACUAUCAUCUUUACCUUAAUUAGCUCCUUCCUCAUUGCUCACCUCCAUAUCAAGGGUUUAGCCUAUUCACACAUGACUUCCACUCUUCCAAGAUGAGGAACACUAGAACUCAAACUCUUCAAUGGAAAACAAUCUUCAAUUACGCUAAGGGCCUCAAUGCAGUGAUCCAAAACCAGUUUUUACGAAUGUCCAGAACAGUUAUUGUAGGAAUCAGGCCAACGCUAGCAAGGCCAAUGCAGGAGCAAAAUGUCAGCAAUGCUGCUUGCCCUUGGCUUAGAGUCAUGAUCCCUUCAAACCUUUAAACAAGAACAUGAAGCAAAUUAAAUAGCAGCCCUUUUAGAACAGAGCAUCAUGCGUGGUUUGCUUUCAUUUGCACUAACAAUGGUGGCAAAAAACUCAUAAGCAGACACGCUUCCCCCUCCCGGCAGCCCCCGAAGAGCAUUUUGUACCAAACCCAUCACCACCAAAGAGGAAAGAAAAAAUACCAAUGUUCAUGAAUCAAAGCAAGUAAGGUAUAGUGAAUUGGUCGAUGCAGAUAAGGAAAAAAAAAUGAAGGAUGAUAACAUCAAAUUCAAACGUAAAUAUUCUCUUGUCAUAGGUUGCUUGGCCUCAUAAUCUGUUGAUCACAUUUUCUCCCCUUUUUAGUUUGCUGCAUAGCUUUCAUUACCGUGUGGCAACAUCCAUAUUACGAAGUUACUCAAUGUCUAAGGAAGUUAUUUAACCUGGACACAAGAUGUAAGGUGAUCAUUCUAACCCAUUUUCUAUCCCUCCCAGAAAAAAACAGACAGACACUCUCAUUUCAAAUUUUACAUACUAGGUGAUGUCAUAAACUAUAAGUGCUCCAGCGACUCCUCUAUAUUAAGAUCUAAUGAUGGAUCUGAAAGAAUUCCUGUCCUACUUGUAAUUAAAAAAAAAAACAUUCAAACGAGUCAUGAGCAAUGCUUGUGUAACCAUACGGACAUUUAUAUAGUGCAUUAUCUCAAAUUCAAGCGUUUCUGAAUUCUUUCACAAACUCCGUACGUAUAAAAGUAAAUCACUGGAAAUGUGGAGAAAUGGGUUCCAUCUCAAGCACUCUCUGCUAGCCAAAAUGGAGAGGGAGUAGGUGUCACUGGCUUCUCUCUGCAUCUCUCUGUCUUUGACGUGCUUAAUGGCACAUGUUAUAUCAAUCAAGUUCAAAAUUUUCCUAUUGACUGCAAGUAAAAGGUACAUCAUGUCCCUAAACUAGGAUUGAGUUUCCCACAAUGACAUAUAUCCUACCAUGAUAAAUCUAAACAUACGCCACAGACAACGGGUUUGAAUUGCUAAAAAAUACAGGCUCAACUUUGCAGGUUCAUCCCACUUAAAUUUGCUCAGAUACUUGAUAUUCCAGAGAUCAUAAUAAAAUGAGGAUCCAACCUCAUUGGAAUUGAACCUCAUCACAACCAUAGGGAAAUGGAUGGCUCCAUACCUAUCGAUGACCUUAACCUCCAUGUUGGGAUCAAACCUCCUCAUCACAACCACAGCGUACACCCUAACGACAACAGUCCCAAGACAGAGACGGCCAUAUAUGUGAAAAAUUGGCAGGACAAGGACAACCAAAUAUACAUUCUUGGAGUUCGGGUACUCGUACUAAGAAACUUCGAACCUUGCAAAGAGCUCGCACAUGGCGAUGAAAUUACCAUGUGUGAGCACAACCCAUUUGCUCACGGCCAUAGUGUUGGAUGAGUACACUAUAGACCCAGCACAGAAGCACCAACGAUGAAUGCGGGGCGGGAUGAGGAAGCACCAGAAGCACCAGUGAUGUGCUGGAGGCGGUGGAUCUGAGCUCGGCUGCGACGAGCGAACUCUUGGGAGGGAGAGAUUUUCGAAAGAGGGCUUCAUGCGGCUUGAGGGAGUGGCGAUAGCGGAGGCGGAGGCGAUGUGUCAAAGGCGGCGGAUCUGAGCUCGGGUGCAACAAGCGGGCUUCUAGGAGGGAGAGAUUUUUUAAAGAAGGCUUCGUGCGGCUUGAGGGAGUGGCGAUGGCGGAACUCGAGAUGCGACGGGCGGGCUCCUGAGAGAUAUUUGAAAGAGGGCCUCGUGCAGCCUGAGGGAAUGUCUCCAGGACAGCGGAGGCGUCGUGCCGGAUGCGAUCGGCGGGCUAUUGGGAAGGAGAGAUUUUUGAGAGAGAGAGACUUCGUGCGGCUUGAUGGAGAAGACAGAGAAGAGAGAGGGCACUUCAAAUUCGAAGGGCGGGAGAAGACAGAAAAGGACGCAGCGAUUAAUGAAGAGAGAGAAGGAGAAGGCAAAAAGAGGGACCCAGGCUCCAGGUGGCGACACGUUUCGCAUCCUGAUUGGGCGGGCGCACCUAAUAUUUUCUCGUGAGGGAGGGAGAAGGGGAGACAGACUUGUGGGGCCUUUUACGACACGUGUCGCAAAAUAAAUGGACUCGUUUUUGGCUGAGUUGGCCUCAGAGCUGCGGUUAAUAUUUUCUCAUCUAUUAGCCCCCACUGGCAGAGCGAGCAGCGGUGUCCAAAUCUUGAAAGGACAUGUUGGAAAUGCACAUGCAUGAGUUUUGGAGUUUUAACUCCGCCUUUGAUUAUACUCGAAAUGGACGUGUUAAGCUAUAUUACGUGGAAAGUCAGUCCAUCAUUCUUUUUCAUAGGUUUAAAAUUUGAAUCUUUUUUUUUUUUUUUUCAGGUUUAAGAUUUGAACCCCCUUUUUAAAUAAAACAUUCGAGCAUAUAAGGAAUCCCAAUAAUGUCUGAUGGCAAAUGCUACGGAUGGAAAGAGUUUCUUUUUCUUUUCUAAAAAAAGAAAUUUCUUUACUUCCUACACCUUGUAAUGAAAAUAUAAUAAAAUCAUAUUUGAUUUUAUGGACAAAGCUGUUAAUUUGUGGUCGUAGAGUUUAAUAAAAGAACAAUCAGAUCAUCAGGUCAUGUUUGUGAGUCGCGUUGUUUGCAUUGCAAAAUAAAUUAGCUUGAAGCCUGACAACCACUCACGUGGAGUGGAGUGGAGUUAAUGAGAAAAUAUAUUAGGUGGUUCCGGAUCACCAGGUCAGCGUGGUCUCCAACCACUCAGGAAGCGACACGUGGAGGUGUGGGACCUGCUCACCAGUAAACGAAUUUAUGCACAAAAUUAAUUUCAUUUCUCUCUCAGUAACCUGCACACACUAGCUCCAUAUGCUCUCUCUCUCCUGCUCUGCACACAUUUCUUUCUUUGUCUCAUAUUCUCUUUCCUCUUCGUACUUUCCUUGUUUGAAGAAGAAGAACGAAGAGCAAACCUCUUUCCUUUCUACCGAAUGCUCUCAAAAAUUGAAUCUCUUCCUUUGCUCUUAGAUUUGACUGAUUCGCGCUUGUUGUUGCUCCGGCGUUCGUCAAACGGCCGCUCCCCUACCGUCGCCGACAAAUCACAUUAAGGCCGCCCCUCGCGCGCUCGAAAGGGAGUGAGGCAGAGGCAGAGGGGCCGAUGACCGCCCUCAACAGAGCUUCGGGUUCUCAAAGUUCUUCGGGAGCAAGUAUGAGCUUGAUAUCAUUCCUAACAAAGAGAACCCGAAUGAAAACAAUGCAGAAUCACCAAAAGUCAGUAGUUUCUUCGACCAAUUUAUAGUUUUUGGAGGUUUCAAAUAAUUGAAAAUAAAAUCCCCGAGAGCUUCAAAAGCAGAUGGAACUUUUAAAAAGCAUUCUGUCUCCAGAUAAGUUCAGAACGAAUGCGCUGCGAAAAGUUUCUUAUUCUUCCCCUCCCCACUUCUCUUCUGCUGUUAAAAUAGAUGCGAAAGCAUAAUUUUUUUUUUUUUUUUUUCUAUGGUUGGAGAAGUUGCUGCAAAAGAGAGAUAGAGUAUCGAUACAGACGAACACUCUGCGGAUCUAGUUUCGUCUGGUCCACAAGAUACCAAUACACCAUUUCACUUGGAAUCUGUCAUGUGAGAUUAACUAAUAACUCUAUUCAUUUGACAUCGCCAAGAAUAAAAGUAUAGUUAGUGUGUGGCGAGAAAGGGAAAAAAGGCCAGACGCAAAAGAAGAAACCGCCAUUUGAGCACCACACAAGUCAGAGCUUUUCGAUUCCCCAUUAUCAAACACAACCAUCUAAUAAAAUCUUCCGUAGAAGCUUACAUAGAAACAUGCGCUAACAAGAAUGGAGUUAGCACAAUUUAAAAGCCAAGAGAAAAAGAAAAAAAUAAAAGGGCUAUGUUAAAUGUUGCCAAACCAUUUUCUAUAUACAACCAAAUCAUCGUCUAAAAUCCCGUCCCCUACACAGCACCGACCCCCUUCUUGGCCUUCUUCACCAGCAGCUUCACGCUUUUCGGCUUCUUCACCGGUUUCUUCUUCACCUUCGCGGCAGCAACCUUCUUUACAGCUUUCUUCCCGGGCAUCGCCUUUGCAUAAGUCUUCACUGCUUUUGCUGCGGGCUUCAACUUCAGCUUCUCGGCUUCACACCCGUCACAGCUUUCUGCUUCAUAGUUGCUUUGGGCUUGGCGGCAGCAACAACGUUCGCCUUGGGUGCCACCGCCUUCGUUACAGUGGAUUUCAAAUUUUGGCCCUUAACUAUCACCAUUCGUAAAUGUUAGUUAACCGUUCUUGAGUAGUAAAAUUGCACAAGAACUAGCGGUGGCAAUCGGCGAUGGACAGCGAAGUGAGAUAGAAGCCAAACGAGUUGCACAGGAGACAGAGCGUGCAGGCUAGGAGGAGAGAGUGCGUCGGCAGGCUAGGAAGAGGAGAGAGAAUGGGAAGAAGGCAGAAGACACCAAUUUCCCAAGUGAGGCCACCCCUCCACAUGGCACCUCAUGAGUGGCCGGGGACCACGCUGAUGUGAUGUGGAGUUCCCGGACCACCCAAUAUUUUCUCGUCUAGGAUCAGCCAAUAUUUUCUCCUUUUGUUUUCUGAUAAAAGCAUGGUUAUUGAAAUAACGCAAGUUUACAAACUGGUCCGCUCAAAUCUUAAAGAUCGGCUAGGCUCAGUUCUGUUUUUCACUUGCAGCUAUCAAGAGGAGCACCGCACAAGCACCGGUUGUGGAAGUACACCGUGUAAUCGAAGCUCUGCAACCGCCCGCCCACCGGAAUCUCCCCGCACAGCCGGUUGUAGCUCACGUUCAGGAACUGGAGACUCUCCAUGGCCGUUGGAAUGGACCCGUAAAUCUUAUUAUGGUUCAUGUCCAGGGUCUGCAGGCUCCCGUUAAAAUCCACCUUCGACAGGUCGAACUCGAACUGGUUCCUCGAGAUGUCGAUGUGGUACGUGCUCUUGUUCCUUCCGAGCACCAGCGAUGCGUCCCCUUGAAGCCUGUUCCGGGAAAGGUCGAGCUUCCCGAAGUCGACGCCGGCGAAGGUCGCCGGGAGCUCCCCGGAGAGGCUGUUGUGAGAGAGGAUGAGGUAGAGGUUGUUACCCUUGAGGUUGGCAAGGGAAGCCGGUAUCUUCCCGGUGAGCUGGUUACGGUCGAGGCCGACGGUGCCGAGGCCGGGGAUGGUGGAGAGAGAGUCGGGGAUGCUGCCGGUAAGCUUGUUGAAGGAGAGGUUGAGGUAGGUGAGGUUCUUGAGCUGGCCGAGGAAGGAGGGGAUUGGGCCGGUGAGAUUGAGCCAGCUGAGUCUCAAGAAAUUCAGGUACUUGAGCUUGGUGAAGGACUCUGGGAUCGGGCCGGUGAAGUUGGAGAGCUUGUGGAGGGUGAGGGAUUGGAGGUAAGUGAGGUCGCCGAUGGCGGAGGGGAUUUGGCCAGGGAGGUCGGCGGCGAAUAAGAAGAGGGAGAUGACGCGGUGGGUCUUGCGGUGGCACUUGAGGCCGUACCAGUAGCAGCAGUCGGUGUCCGGGUUCCAGGAGGGGAGGAGGUAGGGGCUGUCGAGGGAGAACUUUAUGCGGAGGAGGACCUCCUUGUCCUCGGGGUGGCAGAGGAUGGCGGAGGCGGGGCGGAGGAGGAAGGAGAGGAGGGGCAGGACGAGCAGGAGGAGGCGGGCCAGAGACAUUGUUGAAGGUAGUGGUGGAGAGUUGUAUUUUAUAGGAGGAAGUCGUGUGUGGCAACUGGGGGAAGGUUUGCUGGAUUUGGACUCAUUUAAGACGAGAAAAUAUUAGGUAGGAAACACUACCCGUAGGCAAAGUGGAAAACCAUACAAAAUUGACACGUGUCGUCCACGUCAGCAAUUCAAAAUUUGGCUCUCCCUCUUCCUCUGUCCUCUCUUCAAUAGACUCUGGCCCAUCUCUCUCAACACGCUCUGAUGCUCUCUCUCCUAUGCUGUCCUUUGACAGCGAAUUGGCCAGCAAGGGCGUUCCGCAGAGGAAAGAGAGACAGGGUGGAGCGGAGGUCGCGAGAGGGAGGCAAAGGGGCAUUGGCAUCGGCGUUGGGGGCGAAGGCGGAGGCGCGUCGGCAUCGUGCUUCGCUGGAAGAGAGGCACGACUUCGCGAAGGGGGGAGAGGGAGAGAGAGAGCGGAGCGGAGGUCGUGAGAGGGAGGCGAAGGAGCGUCGGCGGCGUCGGCGGUAGGGUCGAGGGCGACGGAGGCAACCGGUGGAGGCAAAGGCGGAGGGGUUGAACCUUUGUUUUUUUUUUCUCUGAACCCUCCGCGAUUUUGUUCUCACUGCAACGAAGCGGAGGAGAGGGAGAGACAGGAGAGGGAGGAGGGAGACGGUCUGCAGAGGAGAGCAGAGGAGAGAGAGCGUCAGAGUGUGUGCAGAGAGGUGAGAAAAUAUUGAUUGGGUGGUCCGGGACCACCCAAUAUUUUCGAAGAACAAAGGAGAGGGGAGAGCAAAAAUUGUUGAGAGUGGGACCCGAAUUACACGUGGACGACGCGUGUCGACUUUUGUAUGGUUUUCCAUUUCACCUACGAUGAUGAGUGUUUCACCUACCUAAUAUUUUCUCCAUUUAAGACUAUUUCUACUUCUAAUUCUAUAAUUUCUUUUAUAUAUAUAUAUAUAUAUAUAUAUAUAUAUUAUAUAUCUCUUCGCAAAUAAUUUUUCUAAAAUGCAAAGUAUACGCUCUUUUCCCAUUCUUUUGAAGAAUUGCUGGUGGAAUUACUGCUCUAUAAUUUAAGAAUGCAAAUCCUUAGCAAUAAUUAAGAGUAAAUUAUAUUAGUGGGCCCACGCGCUAACGCGACUUUGAAGUAAGAGCCAUUUUGGAUAUGAGAACCCCAUCUUGCUCAUGAUGUCUCAAAACACUUUGGAUUCAUUUUGCCAAGCAUGGAAAUUCAUCUCAAUAUCAUCACCCAUUCUUAUAUCCUUAUUUGUUUUGUUUAUUUCAUUCAUGCUAAAUUACAUUCACGAUAGAUAGAAAGAACACAAAUUUUUUAUCAUUUCGGUCUAGGAAAGGAAAAAGUCUUUUGUUAUUGAAAGAGAACUUUGAUUUGAUUAAAGUACAAAGAAGUCCAGAUAUAGCAAAAGGUUUACUGACUUAAUAUAAGUGAAGAUACACACAUAAUGACAAAAUCAACUAAAAGUGUAUAUACAAAUGGUUGAUGGAGAUAAUUAUUCAAAAAGUUCUAAAUUUAUUAUACAUCGAUUAAUUCAGUCUUAAAUUUUUUAUUGAUUUGUCAAUUUAAUCUUAAACUUUUUUACUGUAUUAAUUAAGUCUUAAAUCUUAUGAAAUUUUAUUUAUUUAGUCUUGAACUUAUUAUGUAGAUAAUUAGUUGAAAAUAUUAUAUUGACAAAUUGUUUUUUUUUUUAUGACUCAAGGAAAUCCGUAAACUGACAGCCGGCGGGUAAACCCUGAGGCCCACGGAGGAAACCACUACUCUCGUGAAAUGGGUAAGUUCACUUGUAACGUGCUAAGGAUUCGAACUUCUCCCAUUCGUAAGGGGGAAAAAACCCGAAACCAAUAGGGCCACUCAGUGCAAUGGUAAUAAUGACAAAUUGUUGAUACGUUUAGAUUGAACAAUUUUUCCAUAGUCGGCGCUACUUGGAACGGUCAAGAACGAAAGCUAUCUCUCCUUCAACCUUAUUUACGGAUGCCAUGUUCAUUCCUCCAUGUGGCUCGGCAUAUGCGAAGCGGCCAGUGAAGGAGGCCUACGCUGGCAUUUAAAGAUUUGUCCAUAGUUGACUGUCGAAAGGGGCCUGGGACUACUCUUUCAAGGGAUCAUCCCCUGAUUUGCGUUACUGUGGCUAGGCCCGAUCCGUUCCCAUCGUCUUGAUGAUCUAGUCGGAUUGAAUUAAGAAAUUGCUUGUUUUUUCAUGACACUGUUGGUUUAGGAAUCUGUUUUCAGCACCCCUGGGGGUUGCAUGCUGCAAAUCAAAUGCUCUAGAAUGUCCUGGAUAACCUCUAGCAGAUUGGGUCAAUCGUAAAUUACAAGUACGGCAUUGACAAGUUAUUCAAAUAUUAGAUAUCGUAAUCACUUCCGUUAUAUAAAAUAAGUUCCAUUGCUUGUUGAGUAAAAUUGUCGACCCAGGAACGGGUGAGAGAAGUCCACAAGUGUAUUGUUCCAAGAUUUGGCGCGUGACUAAGAAACAUAGAAUUUGGAAAGAAAAUCUUUUCCUUUGAAAAAUGAAGUCAAAGUUACGCGAAAUCAAAUUAAUAGACAUCAUUUGCGUAGAUUCCCAUUUAGAGAACACAAAGAAAUCAACCAUAGGAAGAACCUGCAUAUAUCACGUGUCCUCAAAUCUAUGUUUGGAACUUUUAAAGGUUGCAUAUAAAAUUUGCUUGCUCAUUCCUUCCAAUCUGUGGGAUUUGUAGGUGUGAACUUCAAUUUGUGUCUAGUGGGUAUUAGUAUCAUCAUAUAAGCAAUGCGUUCUAGUUGGAUUUCCUGGACAACGACUCAUUCCAACUUCGGGCCUAGGGCUAUUUCCUCGGACAGAUUUCUCCAAUUCAAUCCAAAUUGAAAAGGGGCAAAUUCCUCUGCUUCGGUUGGAAGGGGAGUAUGUGUAAACUCCCUAUAUUACAUUGGCAAUUUGGCAUCAAUGUCGGGUCCAAAGUGAGAAUAAGAAAAAAAAUGAAGCGUAAGUAAUUCACUUGUAAAAUGCAUCACAAUAUUUUUAACCACACAUACCAUUAUCAACACAAGUUAGUAAAUGAUUUGUCCGGACUAUGUAAAAAUAGAUAUGGAAAAUGGAAUAUCAUCAUUUUAUUAUUUUUUUUUAUGGUAUAUCAUAAUUGACAAUAAGGUUAUUCUCAUAAAAUUCAAUGUGCCCGAUUCACGAACGAUAUAAUUCAAAUGCUUACCUAAUUUCUAAGGGCAUUUUAAAAGUAAUCUUCUCUUUCAAGGAAAAAGUAAAAAUAUUGUCAUCCAGCCAGGGAGCUGUAAAAUUUCUUGAGAUUAGGGUCGGGAUUAAGUCAAGCACGAUCCAUCGGUACAACAGCAGGGAUUGUGGAGUUCACUUGGUCAAAUGGACAUCCAAGUGAGCCCAAGGCAAAGCAUAUGCUCUAAUCUCUAAUUUGGGAUUAACAAGAAAAUAUUGUUGUACUAUCCAUUCCCGAGCGAUUGCGGGACUUCUGUGACGGUCACGCUUCGUCCUGUGCUGGGCACUGCGCGGCGCGUGGGUGUUCGGACGACGUUGGGAUGUGGAGGGACCAGCUGAACGAGAUGAUAAUAUCGACCCAAGGCGGGGUCCGGAAACGACAGGAGAAAGUUGUCUGGUCUGUGGAGAGGAAGAGCUUUGAGUGGGGAAGCACCAAAACAGCACCACUGAACCAAAAAAGGAAAAUCUCGUCCAAAAAAAAAAAAAACCAAAAAAGGAAAAGAAUCAGGCUGAUAUCGAUAAUGGAUAAGGAUAUUACGGGGGCCCACCGAGCAACUUGUAUGGCAGAACCUUCUUUCGCAAAAUGAGAAAAUAAAGGAAGCACACGUUUGACCAAGGACUCAACUUACCUUAUUGAGAAAAUAUCGGCUGAAGCUGUCAUCUCAGCAAAAAACGAGUCCAUUUAUUUUACGACACGUGUCAUCAAAGGCCCCGCAAGUCAGUCUCUGUCUCCCCUUCUCUUCCUCCCUCACCCUCUCUUCUCUCUCUGCACGUCUUCCCCUUUCUCUCUCUCCUCCGCCUGACCCCUUUUCUCCUCUGUUUUUAUAUAUAUAUAAAUAUCGGGAUUCAAUAGGCAGCUCCUUUUCUUUUUCUGAUAAAAUCAUGGUUAUUGAAAUAACGCAAGUUUACAAACUGAUCCGCUCAAAUCUUAAAGAUCGGCUAGGCUCAGUUCUGUUUUUCACUUGCAGCUAUCAAGAGGAGCACCGCACAAGCACCGGUUGUGGAAGUACGCCGUGUAAUCGAAGCUCUGCAACCGCCCGCCCACCGGAAUCUCCCCGCACAGCCGGUUGUAGCUCACGUUCAGGAACUGGAGUUCCAGACCCGCCACGGCCUUCGGAAUCGACCCGUAUAUCUUAUUAUGGUUCAUGUACAGGUACAGCCACCACAGGCUCUCGUUAAACUCCACCGUCGACAGAUCGAACUCGAACUGGUUCCUCGAGAUGUCGAUGUCGCUUGUCCUCUUGCUCCCCCCGAACAGCAGCGACGCGUCCCCCUGAAGCCUGUUACGGGAAAGGUCAAGCUUCCCGAAGUCGACGCCGGCGAAGGUCGCCGGGAGCUCGCCGGAGAGGCUGUUGUGGGAGAGGAUGAGGUAGAGGUUAUUACCCUUGAGGUUGGCAAGGGAAGCCGGUAUCUUCCCGGUGAGCUGGUUACGGUCGAGGCCGAUGUAGCCAAGGCCGGGGAUGGUGGAGAGGGAGUCGGGGAUGCUGCCGGUGAGCUUGUUGAAGGAGAGGUCGAGGUGGGUGAGGUUCUUGAGCUGGCCGAGGAAGGAGGGGAUUGGGCCGGUGAGAUUGAGCCAGCUGAGAGUCAGGAAAUUCAGGUACUUGAGCUUGGUAAAGGACUCUGGGAUCGGGCCGGUGAAGUUGGAGAUCUUGUGGAGGGUGAGGUCUUGGAGGUAAGUGAGGUCGCCGAUGGCGGAGGGGAUUUGGCCAGGGAGGUGGGAGGCGAGGAAGAAGAGGGAGAUGACGCGGUGGG
rnacentral:lncRNA from 1 species